rfam:Parcubacteria group bacterium CG1_02_44_65 cg1_0.2_scaffold_9378_c, whole genome shotgun sequence.
CAAGUAAAUUAGAUAGCCGCUGCCAGUUUAAAAAAUUGGUAGAGGAAAGUCCGGGCGUCGAAUCUUAUGCCCCGCCGAGCGGGGUAAAGGGGAAAGCGGCAGUGGGCAACACCCACCGUUCGCAAGGAUAGGGAAAGUGCCACAGAGACAAUACUUCUUUGCUUUAGGGGUAAUCUCCUAAAGCGAGGUAAAGGUGAAAAGUGAGGGAUUAAGACCCCUCUCUCCGCGGGGAGACCCGUUGGAGCGGUAAACCCUGCCUGACGCAAGAGCAAAUCCCGACGCAAGGUCGGGAGCAAAGUAGCUCGCUAGAGGCCGGCAGCAAUGCCGGUCCCAGACAGAUGGCUAUCUCCCCGCAGAACUGCGGGGAACAGAACCCGGCUUAUUAUUUACUUGGGCU